rnacentral:misc_RNA from 1 species
AUUUUUCCAUACCAGUUGCAUUAUUUUCUAAUCACGAUUUCUCUCAGUAAUCGGCGAUGACGCACUCCUCCGCCUCCGGAUUCUCCCUGCAGAACGGCUCCAGCGGAUCCGCCGCCCCCUCGACAAUCCUCCGCCGGAGAUGCGCCUUCGCCUGACUCACCUCCUCCACCUCAUCCCACGCGACCCUACACCCAUCAUCCCCUCCAUGCUCCCCCUCGCAGGCCUGCCCUGCCUCCAUCUUCUCCCUCAAUCCA